AGCCUGCUUGGGAUUCUCUCCCUCUCUGCCCCUCCUCCACUCACGUGCUCUCUCUCAAAUAAAUAAAAGAUAAAAAGCACAUAACCUUUAAGAAAAAACACAGCCUUGAAGGGCCAUACUAUUAAGGAUAAGGGAACUCAUCUAAGUUUAUUAAGGAAUUGAUUUUGAAAAGAGUAGAACUGACCAGACAAGAGUAAUACUUAAUGUAUUACAUAAAAGAUACAAAAUUGUAUUUUUACCCUAUUUGAAACUAUGAAAAUCACACAGAAAACAAUUUGGCAGUUCCAGGCAAAGUUAAACACAGAGUGACCGUAUGGUCCAGUAAUUCUAUUCCUGGUUGUAUCUGAAAACGUGUUUGCACAAAAACUUGCACCUGAGUGGUCACUGCAGUGUUAUUCAUAAUAGUCCUAAAGUGGAGACAACCCAAAUGUCCGUGACUGAAUGAGUAGAUAAGCCAGAUGUGGAGGAUUAUCUGACCAUAAAAAGGAAUGACGUGCUGAUACCCGCUUCACCAUGGAGGAACCUUAAAAACAAUAUGUUAAGUGAAAGAAGCCAAACGCAAAGGGCCAUAUAAUAUAUGACUACCUUUGCAUGAAAUGUCCAGGACCGCCAAAUCCAGAGAGGAGACCCGUGCUGUCAGGCUGAGGGGAUACAGGUCACUGAAUCCAAGGCCACCUGUGGAGGGAAGAGUUGAGAUGUCAGUGAGAACCUCCAGAACUUCCAGAAGGAAGUGGCCCUGCUGACUGACACCUUGACUUUGGCCCCAGUGAAGCUGAUCUGGCACUUCUGGCCUUCAGAAGUGUAACAGACUAGACCGGCAUCGUUUGAAGUCCCUGAGUUUGUGGU